ncrna:Saccoglossus kowalevskii microRNA sko-mir-71 precursor
GUUUUGUGAAAGACACAGGUAGUGAGAUAGUGUAUGGUAAACAUCUCGCUACUUUGGUCUCUCUCCAUAGC